rnacentral:rRNA from 1 species
UGGGGAAUCUUGCGCAAUGGGCGAAAGCCUGACGCAGCGACGCCGCGUGAGCGAUGAAGGCCUUCGGGUUGUAAAGCUCUGUGGGGAGGGAAGAAUAAGGGUACGCUAAUACCGUGCUCGAUGACGGUACCUCCUUAGCAAGCACCGGCUAACUCUGUGCCAGCAGCCGCGGUAAGACAGAGGGUGCAAACGUUGUUCGGAAUUACUGGGCGUAAAGAGCGUGUAGGCGGCUAUGUAAGUCGGAUGUGAAAGCCCGCGGCUCAACUGCGGAAGAGCACCCGAAACUGCGUAGCUAGAGUCUCGGAGAGGAAGGUGGAAUGCUUGGUGUAGAGGUGAAAUUCGUAGAUAUCAAGCGGAACACCGGUGGCGAAGGCGGCCUUCUGGACGAUGACUGACGCUG